UCAGUACAAGCCAAAUUAAGGUGAAACCGCGAAAGGCUCAUUAAAUCAGUUAUGGUUCCUUAGAUCGUACCCACAAUUACUUGGAUAACUGUGGUAAUUCUAGAGCUAAUACAUGCAAACAGAGCUCCGACCGGAGACGGAAGGAGUGCUUUUAUUAGAUCAAAACCAAUCGGUGGCGGGCGUUCGCGCGCUCGUCAUCGUACAACUUGGUGACUCUGAAUAACUUUACGCUGAUCGCACGGUCAUCGCACCGGCGACGCAUCUUUCAAAUGUCUGCCUUAUCAACUGUCGAUGGUAGGUUCUGCGCCUACCAUGGUUGUAACGGGUAACGGGGAAUCAGGGUUCGAUUCCGGAGAGGGAGCCUGAGAAACGGCUACCACAUCCAAGGAAGGCAGCAGGCGCGCAAAUUACCCACUCCCGGCACGGGGAGGUAGU
rnacentral:rRNA from 1 species